rnacentral:rRNA from 1 species
GAUGAACGCUGGCGGCGUGCCUAAUACAUGCAAGUCGAGCGAACCACUUCGGUGGUGAGCGGCGAACGGGUGAGUAACACGUAGGUUAUCUACCCAUCAGACGGGGACAACGAUUGGAAACGAUCGCUAAUACCGGAUAGGACGAAAGUUUAAAGGUGCUUCGGCACCACUGAUGGAUGAGCCUGCGGCGCAUUAGCUAGUUGGUAGGGUAAGAGCCUACCAAGGCGACGAUGCGUAGCCGACCUGAGAGGGUGAACGGCCACACUGGGACUGAGACACGGCCCAGACUCCUACGGGUGGCAG